CUCCAUGUCAUUCCCAUAAGCAAAUCAGUCAAACAGGUCCCAAUAAGCCACAUGAGGGUGAGCACGAAGCUGAAUUACUGCUCCGAGGGAACUGCCAGCUGUGCACUGGGAAGGCCACAGCUGGCCUCUGUCCUGCCCUCAGUGACGCUUUUCCAGAACAGAGCAAUGCGAGUGGGAUGCAGAAUUGUCAACUAUGGAAAAGAAAGAAGCACCACAGUCCUCCCUAACCUAAAGGAGAAAGCAGUAGAGAGCACCUUUGGUCACCCCUCUGUUUUUUUGGAUUGGAGUACUGAGCAGAAAAAAAGGAGAAAAGGAGAUGCACGUCAUCUACAGCUACCUACCUGCAGGCAGUGACCUCCAACGUGAUGGUAAAAGUGGCACUUGGAAGAGAAUUUGUUCCCUACAGCUGCAGCACAAGAGCAUGCCUAUGCAGCCACCACUGCAGAUAUCUUUUUCUUUUCUUCCUAACAGGUGCCAGCCAACAUUUUUCUUCUCUCUUUCUUUAAUUCUUUGACCGUUCCACAGUAGGGUCUCACUAACGUUCCACAGUCCAUCUGUGCCCACUUCCACAUUUUGCAGAUCUAACUGCUCAAUGCUUGCACCAUGUACUAAGAUCUCAGGUGAUUUUGUGUCCCUAGUGCUUCUCAGAAGCAAUUUCAAAGACC